CCACAAUCCUGAAGAAAAAUAGUCUCUUACAAUUACAAAGGGACAGAUUAUAAUAUUUUUUUUUUGUUUUGGCACGUACGUAGCUGCUGACUUGUAAUCUCAAGUCCGAAGGGAUUGCAACACAGAGCGUGGACUUCAACACUCCCUCUAAUUAGUUCAUUAGCCACCUUCACAUGCAGUUCCUUAAAUAAACACACACACACACAC
rnacentral:lncRNA from 1 species